rnacentral:rRNA from 1 species
UACAGGGGGGGCAAGCGUUGUUCGGAAUUACUGGGCGUAAAGGGCUCGUAGGCGGCCAACUAAGUCACACGUGAAAUCCCCAGGCUUAACCUGGGAACUGCGUGUGAUACUGGAUGGCUUGAAUCCGGGAGAGGGAUGCGGAAUUCCAGGUGUAGCGGUGAAAUGCGUAGAUAUCGUAAGGAAGACCAGUGGCGAAGGCGGGUCUCUGGACAGUUCCUGACGCUGAGGCACGAAGGUCAGGGGAGCAAACGGG